GGUUCUCUCUCCCUCUUCCUUAGCUUCAUUUUUUCUUUUUCUUUUUUGCUUCCAACUUCAAUCCUAGAUCUCUUUCUCAAUACUUAGUAUUUUUAAGAAUCGUUUGCGGCAAAUCGAAGCCCACGACGAGGCCUAUGAGCUGAUCGGAGCCAAUCUUCAUUUGGCCAUCAUUUGGAGGAUCUCUAAUCCUAGGGUUUGAGGUGAAAAAAUGGGGGGUUUUGCAUCAUUUUAAGGUGUUCGUCAGUACCAGGCUUAGAGCUUAAUCGUGAUGAAGCAGGUGUUCGUCAAUACCAAGCUUAGAGCUUGAUCGUGAUGAAGCAAAUACAGUCACUCACUCUUCCGACUACAUAGGAUUUCCUUUCUUAUUUUAGUUUUGGAUUUUGAAUUUUGUAAUUAUUGUUCAUUUGGAAUUAUUAGGGGUCCACUGGAUGGAUUCCCUAGUUGUUAGGAUUGGAAAACUAUAAUAUUUUUAUUUGAAGGAUUUUCGUAUUUAGAAUUUUUUUCAGUUUAUUAUUUUAUUUUUAAUUCUUUUGUACUCUUAUUUGUUUACAUAUUAAUUAUUUGGUAUCUCUCGGAUUUGUGCUCGGAUUUUAUCACCCGUGGCUCUAGA